GGUUCCCAGCCUGGAGUUCACACGCUCAAGAGUGCGUUUGCACUCACCACAAGGGAGAUGCAGUCUUUGCCAGGGAGGAUUUUUAAACCCCCUCUCCCUCUGUGUCCCCUCUAGAUGCUCCCAUUUUCCUUCCCUAGGCUUCACCUCGCUGCAAGAGCUGAUGUGGUUACACGCAGGGGGCCGGUGAGCACCUCCCAGCUCUGUGCUGUGACUCAGCAUCUCACAGACCUUCAGGAUCCCAGGAACUCGCACCGCCUCUCCUCACCGGCUGAGCUUUCACUCCGCAUCCCCGACACGGUGAGCUUUCCCCAGCACGGGAAGGACUAACCCCUGGAGAUGAGCAGGAAAACCACAACUGCCACCAUUUCAGAAGAAAAAGAUGAGAAAUGGAAGAUGGACAAAAGGAAAACACUAGAGCCAUGACUGAGAUGAAACUCCAAAGCAGUAUUUAAAAAUAAAACAACAAGAAUCUUUGGUUA